AGUGAACGCUGGCGGUAGGCCUAACACAUGCAAGUCGAACGGCAGCACAGGAGAGCUUGCUCUCUGGGUGGCGAGUGGCGGACGGGUGAGGAAUACAUCGGAAUCUACCUUUUCGUGGGGGAUAACGUAGGGAAACUUACGCUAAUACCGCAUACGACCUACGGGUGAAAGUGGGGGACCGCAAGGCCUCACGCGAUUAGAUGAGCCGAUGUCCGAUUAGCUAGUUGGCGGGGUAAUGGCCCACCAAGGCGACGAUCGGUAGCUGGUCUGAGAGGAUGAUCAGCCACACUGGAACCGAGACACGGUCCAGACUCCUACGGGAGGCAGCAGUGGGGAAUAUUGGACAAUGGGCGCAAGCCUGAUCCAGCCAUACCGCGUGGGUGAAGAAGGCCUUCGGGUUGUAAAGCCCUUUUGUUGGGAAAGAAAUCCUGUCGAUUAAUACUCGGUGGGGAUGACGGUACCCAAAGAAUAAGCACCGGCUAACUUCGUG
rnacentral:rRNA from 1 species